rnacentral:rRNA from 1 species
UACGUAGGAGACGAGCGUUGUCCGGAGUUACUGGGCGUAAAGGGUGCGCAGGUGGCGGCGCGCGUGGGGGGUGAAAUCGCCCGGCUUAACUGGGCGGGGGCCUUCCAGACGGCGUGGCUUGAGCAGCGGAGGGGGACGUGGAAUUCCGGGUGGAGCGGUGAAAUGCGUAGAUAUCGAGAGGAACACCUGAGGUGAAGACGGGUUGCUGGGCCGACACUGACGCUGACAGCGCGAAAGCCAGGGGAGCAAACGGG